UGUCUUUAUGUGAUGUUAAGUUGGAUAAGUGCUGGCUCCUUUAAGAGCAGUGACUUGAUGACAUCAUCAAUGUUAGACCAGCUUCAGCCUGCCCUGUGGAAGAUAGCUGUCCUUUAGUGUGCUCUCAUCCUUAGCAAUCUGUUACAUUUCUUGUCUUUUGGGAGUUAUCGUUGUUUUAACUACUUCCAGUCAUCCAUUAAACGAAGUGAACUGGGUAUCUGCUUCAGUGUGGUGAUUGGCAGAGGAGUUAUCUGUCUGUCAACAUAUGCAAGGUGCAUUGGGGUGGCAGAACAAUCUUGUUUAAAAUCUUUUCAUGUAAUAUUUUUAUCUUCUGUACCCUUUUAGCCCAUCUGUUAAAAUUUUUUAAACAAUAGUUUUAGAAAACAGUGUCAGAUUUAUCAGUGUAUAAUUGUUGUAAUUGUCUGAGGAUGGAACAGAAUUUGAUGAAUUUGAAAAGUGUUUUCAUUUUUUUCCUCUUUAUUAUUAUUAUUAUUAUUAAUGUAUUUAUUUUCAAUUUUUAUGUAGGGGGACCCUGUUAAACCCUUUGCUACCACUUAAGCAUGUAGGCUUAGCCUAAUCUCUGUGAGUAAAGGUUUUUCAAAUGAUAACUAAAUAUUAAUUGAGUCUUAAAUGCAUUAUGUGGACAGAGUAUUUACACUAAUGUUGGCAUUAUUCUUUUAUUAAAUGUCAGCUGCUGGUGGCGAAGCAAAUCCAGCGGAGACUUUAUCUUAAUUUCGUUACUGCCAAAUACCCAUCUUAAUUUAAAAUGUAUCUUAAUUUAAUUUAAUUUUUUAAAAAAGACAUAAAGAGUGCAGAGAUAUAAGAUGUUACAGAGGACUUAUUUUAUUUCUUUAUUCCAAGUUUCAAGUGGCCUAGUCUAUGUUAGUUAUUAAUAAAUUAUGUUAAAACAUGUAUAAAUGACUCAUUCUUGACAAAAGGCAAAAGAGUUGUGUGUGUGCGCACAUUUGAAUAAUGUCGGCUGUAAACUGGGUCGGGCUUUUAAAAAGCUGUCAAUCAAAAUUUACUUGUCGGGCUCGGGUCCUGUCGGGCCAAACUUUUAAGGCCCGAUUACAGCUCUAGUCUGAGCCUCAUCACAAGCAUUUCAAUGCCCAGUUUCCCCAGCGUUAACUAUGCAAAUGACAAAUAAAUGCCUCUUGACUCUUGACAUAAAAAGAUGUGAACACAUGAUGUGACACAUGAUAAGUGUAAAGGUUUUCUGUUAACUUCAGUAUCUAACAAGAUAAUUUUUCUUGAUAAUUUUUAAUCCAGCCAUACAAUAUCCCUUUGAUUUUCACAAUCUUCCUCUUUCUCUCACAUUUUUUCUCACAUUUUACUGUCACAUCUUAAUAUCAGAGUUACUUCUAACACAUGAAGCAUCCUUAAAAAUGUCACCUUCUGAUUUCAUAAGCUGUGUGUUAUUAACCAGCAAUAUGCUGCAAAAAGCAUUAGUUCAUCUAAUUUCUUUUUUCACUAUUGCUGCAACAUGACAAAACUGCCAAAAGUAGUAUAUUUGAUAUAAACUUUGUCUUGUUUACAUCCCUUUUAGAGGCUUAAAUGUAUAAUAAUGUAUUUAGGUAUAGGAUGGUAAAAAAUGUGCUAAAAAGACAUUUAGAAAUGUAUUUGUUGGUAAUUACAAGCUAAUUUUGGCCUGUCUUUGUAUUAUAGAUGGUUCAUGACAGCUGCACAGAUGUCAGUAGAUGUGCUUAGAAAGGACAUUGACUCAAACAGAAACCAACAGUACUGCUGAUUAAGUCAACAACACAUUAAAAUAUAUUUCCAGUUGACAAAUAUUUUGACAUGACCUAUGACCUUAACAUAAAGUCAUAUACAAUAUAUAAGACUUAAACUGAAUAAUAAAUGUCUGUAGCUAUUUUUUACAUGACAUUUAAUUUAUUUAGUCUGUAUAAGAAAUUUAUUUGUUUAAUGCUUAACCUGUAAACAUGAUGGUUGCCUUUUGAUUGUUGCAACCCACUCUCCCCUAGUAUUAGACAUUUAAUGUAAUAUUUUAUUAAUAUUUUUAUAUUUAAUUUCAUUACUGUAUGCUAAUAAACAACUAAUUAAGAACAUUUAUAUAAAUAAACUUGUGUUGGGGGGGAUUCAAUGUCUGUUGAGGCCCAUGUGAAUGUGCUACAAAGUGAGUUUCAGAAACAUAUCCAGACCCCUCGACUGUCAAAGACCACACGUCACAAAUAUUCUCCUGGAGACGCUGAGAACCACGGAAGGAAUGUCUGUGGAGGAUGUACUCAAAAAAUACUCAUACUUCAGGACACCUGCUGGAGGGGACCCUGUUAAACCCUUUGCUACCAUACACCUGAUGGAUACUGACUGUAAAAUGGCAAUCACAGGAGGAGGGUGUGGUGACAGAAGAUGGAAUAGACAUGUGUCAGUGCACCAGCCUUGAUUAAGCCAUCAACAGCCUUCUGUAUGUAUUCUGCUUUCAACAUUGCAUAUCCAACACACCUGAGAAAGACACUGACUUUCCUUCAGAGGGACAUUCUCAACAUUAGAAGAUGGAGACAAGCACUGUCAGUAACUUUACUCGGAAUGAUUAGCCUUUUGUAUUAGCUCCUCAUGCCUCAACUCUAUCAUUGCCCAAAGUGCACUCACAAGGACAGUUAAUCCAACAAGUUGUAGUUGUACAUGCACAUGUACCAAAUAUUAGUAUAACCCGUGGUAUAGAUGAGUGCCAGUCAACUUUAUUGGGAUCUUUUAGAAACCAUGCACAGGACGCAUAUGUACAUUUGGUACUCAGUGAAGAGUCAGUAGUACAGUUGUAUUAUAAUAUAAUGGAGAAAGAUCUGGCUGCAGACUUGCACUCUCAGACUCUUGCGCUUCCACUAGUGACAACACUUGCAGUCUUUUUUUAUUUUAUUUUUAUUCUAUUUAUUGGUUACUUUUUGUUUGAUUCUCUCAACA